CCUACGGGAGGCAGCAGUGGGGGAUAUUGCACAAUGGGGGAAACCCUGAUGCAGCGAUGCCGCGUGAAUGAAGACGGCCUUCGGGUUGUAAAGUUCUGUCGCAGGGGACGAAAAUGACGGUACCCUGCAAGAAAGCUCCGGCUAACUACGUGCCAGCAGCCGCGGUAAUACGUAGGGAGCAAGCGUUGUCCGGAAUUACUGGGUGUAAAGGGAGCGUAGGCGGGAGGAUAAGUUGAAUGUGAAAUCUAUGGGCUCAACCCCGUCGUGCCGUUGAAACUGAUGUUCUUGAGUGGGCGAGAAGUAUGCGGAAUGCGUGGUGUAGCGGUGAAAUGCAUAGAUAUCACGCAGAACUCCGAUUGCGAAGGCAGCAUACCGGCGCCCAACUGACGCUGAAGCACGAAAGCGUGGGUAUCGAACAGGAUUAGAUACCCCAGUAGUC
rnacentral:rRNA from 1 species